UUUAGAUCCCUUGUUUGAUUUACUUUGUAAACAGAUGAGGAGUUAUAUGAAGUUUUCUUAUUAUUUUUAAGAUGUUGAGAUGUUCUUUCGAUGAUGUAAGAAUGAUGUGAGAUUUUAUAUUCGUAUUUGAGUUUGAGUAUUUGAAUAAUUCGAGAUAAUUAUUUGAAUGAGAACGGUGAACUCGGAAGUGAGAUCUGAGUCCGUUAAGACGUUUUUGAAAAUUUUGACUUUUUGACGAUGAAUAGUAAAAUACUGCUAUUUCGUCUUUUUGUCGACUUUCAAAAUCUUACGUGCACGUCGUCGAGAAAUAUUCUUAGUUUUUCGAUACGAGUCCAAUAAUGAAAGUUUUUAUUUUUGGACGACGAGUGAAUAGUGAACUAGAUUUUCUCGAUAAACGAACCGAGCUCGUUUAUCAGAAUUUCGAGAACGAGCUUGUGUUUUCUAUAUUUAUAUAGAAUUACGAGUGCAAUGAAAGUGAGUAGAGGUUGAGAGGGCGAGUAACGAAGAGUAUGGGUAGUUAGUCGUUAAAACGAGACGAAACGAGAUAUUUAACGACUAACGGGUUAAUAUCCUAAAUAUCUAACCUACCCUACCCCUAACCACCCCCCCAACUGCCCACUAUCCCUCUAUCUCACCUAACUCACGCUGCACACACAACACACACACUAAAACACAUUAGAAACACACACACACUUCACGUUAACACCAUUUCUUUGGUGUUCAAGCUUUUGACUUCCGAUUUGAGCACCGAGACGAGCGCCGAUCAUCUUUCCGAUCACGUAUCUAAGUAGGUCCUUUUGGGAAGUAACGACUUGAGGGAGAGAGUGACGUUACUCAUUGAUACAGAGACACAACGAGGUUGAGCUGAUGUGAUGAUGGUGCUGCAAUGAGCGGAGUCUCCAGGGUUGUUAAUAAAUAGUUAACCUGUCUAGAAUAUGUCUUCAUACAUAUGUCUAGCUACUUUCCGCUGCAAGAUGUUGUUGAUGUUAUAGUAUGUUAUGUCAUACUUUGAGUCUUAAGAGAAUGGUUGCAUAUGAUGUAUAACUUGAUUAAUGAUAUUAAUUAACUUUUAUGCAGUCUUUCAUAGACUGUUUUCAAUUGAGUAUUAAUGAAUAAAAAUGACGAGUUUUAU